rnacentral:rRNA from 1 species
UACGUAGGGUCCGAGCGUUGUCCGGAAUUAUUGGGCGUAAAGGGCUCGUAGGCGGUCCGUCGCGUCGGGAGUGAAAACUCGGAGCUUAACUCCGAGCCUGCUUCCGAUACGGGCAGACUAGAGGUAGGCAGGGGAGAGCGGAACUCCUGGUGUAGCGGUGGAAUGCGCAGAUAUCAGGAAGAACACCGGUGGCGAAGGCGGCU